rnacentral:rRNA from 1 species
ACUCCUACGGGAGGCAGCAGUGGGGAAUCUUGCGCAAUGGGCGAAAGCCUGAUCCAGCAAUGCCGCGUGUGCGAAGAAGGCCUUCGGGUUGUAAAGCACUUUUGUCAGGAAAGAAAUUGUCUGGGCUAAUACCCCAGGCCGUUGACGGUACCUGAAGAAUAAGCACCGGCUAACUACGUGCCAGCAGCCGCGGUAAUAC